UUAACAAAAACAUGUCCUUUUGGUUAGUAUUUAAGGUCUAAUCUGCCCUAUGAUUAUUUAAAUGGCCGCGAUAUCUUGAUCGUGCGAAGGUAGCAUAAUCAUUAGUUUUUUAAUUGAAAGCUGGUAUGAAUGAUUGGACAAGAAACUUUCUGUCUCAAAUUUAUUUUUUGAAUUUUAUUUUUUAGUUAAAAAGCUUAAAUUGUUUUGUAAGACGAGAAGACCCUAUAGAGUUUAAUAUUUUUAUUUACAUUUAGAUUUUAGAAUUAAUAUCUUUUUGUUUUACAAAGUAUUUGGUUGGGGUGACAUAGAAAUUUAUUGAACUUUUUAUUUAUAAAAUAUAAAUUUAUAGAUUGUUGACUUAUAUUAAUAGUUAAAAGACUAAAUUACCUUAGGGAUAACAGCGUAAUUUUUCUAAAGAGUUCAUAUCGAAAGAAGAGAUUGCGACCUCGAUGUUGGAUUAAAGUUAAAAUUUGGUGUAGAAGCUAAAUGGUUUAGUCUGUUCGACUAUUAAAACUUUACAUGAUCUGAGUU
rnacentral:rRNA from 1 species